GCCUGGGUGGUUCAGUCGGUUAAGUGUCUGACUUCAGCUCAGGUCAUGAUCUCACAGUUUGUGGGUUCGAGUCCCACAUCGGCCU
rnacentral:tRNA from 1 species